rnacentral:lncRNA from 1 species
AAAAAAAUUAAUGAUCUCUGUUGGUUUCAGCCAAACAUUUCAACCCAAACAUUUCAUGCAAAAUAAACAGAUAAAUAAAUAAAUAAUAAAUUUUCUCUUGGAAAAUCAAACUUUCAAGGUGGCACAGGACCAGCAUUUCUGCUUGACAAUGCCUAGAGCUAGGGGGCAGUAUAUCAUUGUGUAUGAUAAAAACCUGACCUCGUGUUAAGCAAGUAAGGAGUUAAACUUUUUUCCUGCAGCCAAAUAUCCAGGGAUUGGAUGUCCAGGGCAGGCUCUGAGGCUGAGCAACGCCAUCAGCCCCCAGGUCCCCUGGCUGGCGACUCUGUUAUGUGUGCUGUUUGUUCCUCAUGAUCUCAAGAUGGCUGCUGCUAAUCCAGCUGUGAUAUCUGUGCUUCAAGAAGAAAAGAGGGAUGACAUAAAAUCUGUAAAGCGGAGAGAAUCAUCACUGACUUUGAGGUUGUCGUGAGGCUGAGAUGAGCAGACCUAUGCAAAGUCCUCCCAGCAGUACUGGCAUAUGGCAAGCACUCAGUGAGGAUGACGCAUAGGCUGGGAUGCCUUGUUUCUGAUUCUGAAGAAGAGGAGAUAAGCGCUGUUAACAGGACUUGCUCAGCCUUUUCAAAGUGACCUCAAUGGACAAUGACCUCAGCACUGGGAAAGCUGGUCCUAGGAAAUGAAGGCAAAGUUGAAUAGAGAAAUGCCAGGAUGGGUGCUGUUGUUAUGGCAUUUCUUUGAGAGUUGAGCCAUUGCAAUUCCUUUGGUUAGAAGAAGUGAAGAUAUAAGUGACCUUUGUAAAAUGGUUUUGCAUUUUUCACAAUACACUUUAUUGAAGAAGUGUGACAAAGUAUUAAAAAAACCAUUGUCUCAUUACUGC